ensembl:lncRNA
CCCCGUUAACUGUCGCGGGAACUAGUGACGAAUCGCUUUAGUGAGUCGAUUCUUUAAAGCUACCUGUAUAUGAGAAUCGAAGCGUGCGUCUAGAAAUAGAGCACUUUUAAAGAGCCGUUCAUAAAGUAGGAAUCGAAUCAAUCACGAGUUAGCCAUCAUUAGCGAGAACAUGACCGGGUGUCCGAGUGCUCUCAUUUCAUACAGCUGUAUUUAGUUGAUAUUUCAAGCAGAUAGUCGUUAAUAUAUGAUAUGCAAUACGAUGGUUACGGAAUUACGAGAUGACUGUCACUGAAACGGCUUGCGUCUGGUCUUUUCGAAAGCAGCGUGACAGCCUGAUGUUGAUGUAACUGGCUCUGUGAGGGAAAACGACCGCCACCGUGGAAGAAACCAGCAGCACAUGGCACCAGGCCUACACAAACUCGGGCUACAGCCCUGCUCCAACAUCACCCGAACACUUGUGCAGGGCCUGUGGAGGCCACUUCGACACGGCAAGCAAGAAUGUGUGUGUAGACUGCAAGAAGCACUUCUGCAGCCGUUGCU